rnacentral:rRNA from 1 species
UACGUAGGGCGCAAGCGUUAUCCGGAAUUACUGGGCGUAAAGCGUGCGCAGGCGGUGAUGUAAGACAGAUGUGAAAUCCCCGGGCUCAACCUGGGAACUGCAUUUGUGACUGCAUCGCUGGAGUACGGCAGAGGGGGAUGGAAUUCCGCGUGUAGCAGUGAAAUGCGUAGAUAUGCGGAGGAACACCGAUGGCGAAGGCAAUCCCCUGGGCCUGUACUGACGCUCAUGCACGAAAGCGUGGGGAGCAAACAGG